ACGGCAGCAUGAUCUAGCUUGCUAGAUUGAUGGCGAGUGGCGAACGGGUGAGUAAUACAUCGGAACGUGCCCUGUAGUGGGGGAUAACUAGUCGAAAGAUUAGCUAAUACCGCAUACGACCUGAGGGUGAAAGUGGGGGACCGCAAGGCCUCAUGCUAUAGGAGCGGCCGAUGUCUGAUUAGCUAGUUGGUGAGGUAAAGGCUCACCAAGGSGACGAUCAGUAGCUGGUCUGAGAGGACGAUCAGCCACACUGGGACUGAGACACGGCCCAGACUCCUACGGGAGGCAGCAGUGGGGAAUUUUGGACAAUGGGGGCAACCCUGAUCCAGCAAUGCCGCGUGUGUGAAGAAGGCCUUCGGGUUGUAAAGCACUUUUGUCCGGAARGAAAUCGCACUUACUAAUAUUAGGUGUGGAUGACGGUACCGGAAGAAUAAGGACCGGCUAACUACGUGCCAGCAGCCGC
rnacentral:rRNA from 1 species